UACGGAGGGUGCAAGCGUUGUCCGGAAUCACUGGGCGUAAAGGGCGCGUAGGCGGCCUGGUAAGUAGGGGGUGAAAUCCUGCGGCUUAACCGCAGGGCUGCCUUCUAAACUGUCAGGCUUGAGCACGGUAGAGGCAGAUGGAAUUCCCGGUGUAGCGGUGAAAUGCGCAGAUAUCGGGAGGAACACCUAUGGCGAAGGCAGCUCGCUGGGACGGUACUGACGCUGAGACGCGAAAGCGUGGGGAGCAAACAGG
rnacentral:rRNA from 1 species